rnacentral:rRNA from 1 species
AGCGAACGCUGGCGGCAGGCCUAACACAUGCAAGUCGAACGAACCUUUCGGGGUUAGUGGCGGACGGGUGAGUAACACGUGGGAACGUGCCUUUAGGUUCGGAAUAACUCAGGGAAACUUGUGCUAAUACCGAAUGUGCCCUUCGGGGGAAAGAUUUAUCGCCUUUAGAGCGGCCCGCGUCUGAUUAGCUAGUUGGUUGAGGUAAUGGCUCACCAAGGCGACGAUCAGUAGCCGGUCUGAGAGGAUGAUCAGCCACAUUGGGACUGAGACACGGCCCAAACUCCUACGGGAGGCAGCAGUGGGGAAUCUUGCGCAAUGGGCGAAAGCCUGACGCAGCCAUGCCGCGUGAAUGAUGAAGGUCUUAGGAUUGUAAAAUUCUUUCACCGGGGACGAUAAUGACGGUACCCGGAGAAGAAGCCCCGGCUAACUUCGUG